GCCUCUCUCCGGGAGGGCUGCAGCUUACAAGAUUCCACUAUUCUAAUGCCAACCUGGCAGGCGAGAUGUAGGGACUAGGGCUUUCGGAACAGGGAUAAGCCGGAAUAGUGCUUGUCUACUUCCUCUCCUGCUUUGCAUAAGUGGCAGUGAUUCUGAGAGCUUAUUAUGAGUCCUGAAAGUGAUCCUAUGGUUUUUUUCUCCUUUAAUCUACUAAUCUGCGUGACUGACACUGAUGAUACGUAACCAUCCUUGGUUAUUGGCAUCAACGCUACCCAGUCUGCUUAGUACAGGGGAAACUCUUGCCUCCUUCUCUUCCGUCCACUGGCCUGCAGCAGUCCAUCUGUCUUCUCUCUGUGAUGUCUGCAUCCCCUGUUCCCUGGCACCUCCUUUUAGAAGGAGGGAGGGACUGGAGAGGGGAGCCCACUGCAGGUGGCCAUGGGCAGAGACUGUCACAAGACUAGCUGGGCAUAUGGAGAGAGAAACCCACGAGU